AGUAUGUGUAUAGAUGAAUGACUGGACAUUUUCAGCCGUAUCGAUUGUGACGAUAUAAAAUAUUGGAUCUGAUCGAAAUAUUGGAACUAAACUCGGUGCAUUUGAGUGAAGGACAUAGAACUGAAACAAUCGUAGACAUGUGCUUCAAAGUACAGUGUGAAAAAUGCCAGAAAUAUACUUGGAAAGGGUGUGGGAACCACAUCGAAAGGGUGUUGAAGGAUGUACCGGAAGACCAGCGAUGUAAGUGUCCGAGGGACUAGCACUUGUGCGCAGUUUAUCUCAGGAUUUCCGGACAUUUAUUUGGCCAUGGAGUCUUAGUGUCAUUCUACAGCAAAUCUCUAUUAAGUUGCUCACCCCUCCUCUGAGCCAGUUUUGCAAUGUAUUUAUUAUUUUUAUUUUUUUUUAAUUUCUAAAUAAUAAAUGUUAGAAAGGCCCUGCUUUUUAAAACAAACGGGAUGUAUUAUACACAAUGCUGCAAGGGAGUAAGCUUUGCAUAAAUCAUUCAUCGUUAGAAAAUGAGUUGUCUUUCUUGAUAUUAGUUUAAACUGCAUA